GGGCGGCGCGGGCGUUGCCACGACGCGGGCCGAGCGCGUCCCUGGCAGCCAACCCAUCCACGUCAAGGUUUGUUUAAUAAUCGCCAGGGUAUUUAUGGCCCGGCUGGGGCGGCGGCUAGGGAGCCAGGAGACCGGGCGGGUCGGCCCGGCUUCCCGAAUCGGCCAGGUCCGACCCAAGGGGGAAGAUGGAAACACCUGCCACGCUCUGAGCCCCUGCGGAAGAGAACACCCUUCCCGUCAUAUCAUCCCACCGUCCUGCGGAGGCCACCGCCUGGUCCCCCCAAGUCUCCUUUUCCUAGGGGUCGAGCGGAACAGUGAGCGAUGGCGGAAAACCUGAAGAGACUGGUCUCGAACGAAGCUUUACGAACAUUGCAGGAAAAGGUAGACUGCUGGCUGAAGGAGUACAACACAAACACCUGUGAUCAAAAUCUAAACCACUGCCUUGAACUCAUUGAGCAAGUUGCCAAGGUGCAGGGACAACUCUUUGGGAUCCUCACAACAGCAGCCCAAGAAGGAGGACAUAAUGAUGGCGUGGAAACAAUCAAGUCACGGCUUUUGCCUUGGCUGGAGGCUUCCUUUACAGCUGCUUCCCUGGGAAAACCUGUUGACAGCAAGGUCCCCUCUCUGCAGGACACGUUUGACAGGGAGAGACGUAAAGAUCCCAGUCGUCAGGAUUGGGAUGCACAACAAUUAGAUGCUAAUUUGAACUCAACCUGGAGUCAACUCAGCCAGGUUCAAGACAAUCUGGCUGAAACGGAAAAGAAUCUUGAAGAAACCAAGAACAGAUCGGCCAUAUCCCUUUUGGCUGCAGAGGAGGAAAUAAAUCAGCUAAAAAAGCAGCUUAAAUCUCUUCAAGCCCAGGAGGAGGCUCGCCACAGAAACACAGAUCACAGGAGCUCAGAGAGGAAGCCAGGGGAGCCUCGGAGCUCAGAGCAGCAGAGGUCUGAACAGAGGAGCUCAGUCAAGCGGAACGCAGAGCGGCGGGACACAGAAGCCACAUCCGAUUAUGAGAAACCGCUCCAAAACCUGAAGGAGGAGAGAGCUGUUCUGUCUGCUGAGAAAUCUGGACUCCAGGGAAGGUGCUCCAGGAGCCGGUCUCCUAGCCCUGCCUCUCGCAGCCACAGUGGAUCUGCCAGCCCCUCCACCACUGUCAAGGUCAGGAGUCCGUCCCCAAACCGCUCCAAGCUGUCCAGUGUGGGGCGCAAGGCUGCUCUCUUGUCCCGGUUCAGCGACUCCUAUUCCCAGGCCCGCCUGGAUGCUCAGUGCCUGCUGCGGCGCUGCAUUGACAAGGCUGAGACCGUGCAGCGGAUCAUCUACAUAGCCACAGUGGAGGCAUUCCAUAUAGCAAAAACGGCAUUCAGACAUUUCAAGAUCCGUGUGAGAAAAUCGUUGACACCACCUUACGCGGGGUCAAAUGACUUUGAGAAUGCUGUCUCGGACUAUGUCGUCUGUCACCUUGAUCUCUAUGAUUCCCAAAGCAGUGUCAGUGAUGUGAUCCGAGCCAUGAAUGUCAAUCCCAAGAUUUCCUUCCCUCCUGUCGUUGACUUCUGUCUCCUCAGUGACUUCAUCCAGGAGAUAUGUUGCAUUGCCUUUGCAAUGCAGGCCUUAGAACCACCCCUAGAUAUUGCAUACGGGGCAGAUGGAGAAGUUUUUAAUGAUUGCAAAUACCGCCGCAGCUACGACUCGGAUUUCACUGCUCCCUUAGUUCUGUAUCACGUGUGGCCUGCUCUCAUGGAGAAUGACUGUGUCGUAAUGAAGGGAGAAGCUGUCACCAAGAGAGGGGCUUUUGUACGGUGGCCUUGCGUAGUGACAAUUCAUCCCAAGUGUUUGAUUCACAAUGGAAUUCGGUGCAACCUCUAACUCGAUGUCGAAGCAGGAGUUUAAGUCCCAUUUGCCCCCGUAGCCAUACUGGUUUAAGCACGAUGUCUCGAAGUCGGAGUCCUUCUCCAGUGAGAUGUGGAUUGCCAAGAUUUUAAAACCACCAGACCUGCUCCUUUGCUCCAGGGCGUGGAAACAGCUGCCUCUCCGGUUCCUCCAUCUGCCUGCUGUGUGUGCCUCAGAUCUCACUUAAGAUAAUGUCAAAAGGCAAUUCUGUGUAUCACUCCACACAGAGUUAAAUGUUUUGGCUCAGCGCAUUUGUAACUUUGGAUACAUUGCAUUUUAUUUUAUUUUAUAGAUACAAAUUCCAUUAAUUUCAUAAAAACGGUUGUAUAGGUGUUUAGGAUCAUAUUCAUUUGAAGCAAAGUCCAUUACAAAGGUUCAGGAUUUCCAACUCAAAACACUAGGCUCUUCUAUGGGAACUGGGUGAAGUAACUAGGAAGCAUUUACCAUGUGGAGGCUAAAAGAAAAGAUGAACUAUUUUAGUUUGCAGACGGAUCGUAAAUAUUGUAAUUGUUGGUAUCAGCUUUAGUUUGAAACCAAUAUUAGGUGUUUUAAUUUCCCUUUAAGGUUUGGAAGACAGCCCUAAUCUCAGGUCGGGGAACUCAUGUUAGUAGCAGUGGCUUAGGGCUAAGUGUAGAAGAUCAUUUAAAACAUAUUAUUAGUUGGCUUGCUUUUGAGCCAUUAGCUGGCUGAUUUUGAGAGUGCCGUUUGGUUCAUCUGAGUAAUGAAUGUCCAAGAGAGAAUUCUUUGUUCCGUAAAUGUAGAGCAGUGAUUUGACUAGAAGCCAGCUUUGAGAGAAAUGUUAAUUACCUGAUGCAUAUCUCCCGGGAAUAUUUCAAACUGUUUUAAUGCAUGUGUUAUAUAUCAAAGUUUCUUGGGACACACUCUUCACCUGUUCUACCUAGUUAUUUGCAAAUUCAGACCUCCUGUUGAACUCCAUCUGCCCAAAACUACUUAAACUCAAGGCCUAAAACCAGGGGCAUCAUUUACUGAUUUUAAAUUGAGUAUAUAUCCCUUGACUUCUUCACUGUCAAAUACUUUUGAAAGUUUAUGUUCGAGAUAAGAAUGGAAUGUUGCUUUCUUGAGAUAAGUAAUAUUAUUUCCGCCUUUAUUUCACUUUCAAGCCAGCCUUAAACACAAGCCUUACAAACGUCUGCUUUCUCCAUAUACCUUUGAGAGAGACACUGAAUUGACCUCAGCUGAGUUUUGUAUAAGCUCAGUGCCAGAACAAGCACCUGAUGCUUUUCAGGUGAAAACGAAGUGAACAGCUUCUCUAAACAUCUUAUUCCUGUGCUGGAGUUUUGGGGGCCCUCUCAGUGCCUGCCCCUGAGUCUAAUGGUCACCAACUCAUUUUGAAGUAUGAGUUGAAUUUUUAGCCCUCUUUGCAUAUUUACACAGUCAUCACUUUGAAGCAACGCAGUGUGUUGGGAGGAGCACUAUCUGCCUAGGUAACUGCUGGUGCUGACUCGGUCAUCAGCUUGCCUUGAGCAAGUUACUUCACUUCUCUGAGCCUCAGUUUAAUUGUAGGGUGAGGAGGUUGGAUAAAAUUAGUGGCUCUCCUAACCCUACAGACUCAAUGUUGCCUCUCAUAACAAAUAUUUUAUUCUGAAUAUGAAAUGAAAAUCAAAGUUAAUAUAAUCAUCUAUGUGCACAUAUAAUUUUAAGCAAUGAGCAUAGUACCCUAACUAUAAUAUAAUGUAGAAAAAAAGAAAGCAACUUUUAAUAAAAUAAAAUUUAUUUCAAUAAAAAUGCUUGGGUAUAACCACCCUAGAAGAUAAGAUUAAGCCAUUAGAUGCCUGAACCUGUAUGUAGAGCCAGCAGCUACAAAUGAAGAUCAGUGUACUGGCAACAGAAAAUCACAGUGUUGUCACUGGAUGUGACUUUCUGAAAUGGCGGGCAACUCUUGUUCAUGUUUUGAACAAAAAAAUCUUAUAGUCUUGCCCUGAUUUACACAGUAGUCGCAUUCCUGGAAAAGUCAAGUGUGUAUUAAAAACAUGCAACAGUUACUGUGUGUUAUAUGUUAAAAGGUCUUCACUAAUAUCUCACUAAGUAAUGAAAAUGCCUAUAUAUCAGACUUUUUUUUCAGGAGCCAAGCGCAUAUAGUGAUUUGGAAAAAGGCACAGGUAGCUCAGUUUAUUUGCUUUCUACCCUGCCUGGGUAUACUCUGACGUGAGCUGUAACUACACUGGGAAGGCUAAAUAGUCUCAGAAUUUUUGGAAAGAAUCCACAAAACCAAAGGAGACUGACCUAUCCUCAUUUUAUCUGGGAUGUACCUCACCCUUAGAGACUUUGAAAAAUGAAAAGCUCUUAUUUUGCAAUUUGGGUAAAUGUUAGUUUCUAGAUUUUUGGCUAACAUCUAAUAAUAAAAUUUAAAAAUGUUUUUGUAACUAUCAGUUAUUUGCAAUAAAAUGCUUUCCUUCCACA